CGGCGGACGGGUGAGUAACGCGUGGGUAACCUGCCUCAUACAGGGGGAUAACAGUUAGAAAUGGCUGCUAAUACCGCAUAAGACCACAGUACUGCAUGGUACAGUGGUAAAAACUCCGGUGGUAUGAGAUGGACCCGCGUCUGAUUAGGUAGUUGGUGAGGUAACGGCCUACCAAGCCGACGAUCAGUAGCCGACCUGAGGGGGUGACCGGCCACAUUGGGACUGAGACACGGCCCAG
rnacentral:rRNA from 1 species